GGUUAAGCGACUAAGCGUACACGGUGGAUGCCCUGGCAGUCAGAGGCGAUGAAGGACGUGCUAAUCUGCGAUAAGCGUCGGUAAGGUGAUAUGAACCGUUAUAACCGGCGAUUUCCGAAUGGGGAAACCCAGUGUGUUUCGACACACUAUCAUUAACUGAAUCCAUAGGUUAAUGAGGCGAACCGGGGGAACUGAAACAUCUAAGUACCCCGAGGAAAAGAAAUCAACCGAGAUUCCCCCAGUAGCGGCGAGCGAACGGGGAGCAGCCCAGAGCCUGAAUCAGUGUGUGUGUUAGUGGAAGCGUCUGGAAAGGCGCGCGAUACAGGGUGACAGCCCCGUACACAAAAAUGCACAUGCUGUGAGCUCGAUGAGUAGGGCGGGACACGUGGUAUCCUGUCUGAAUAUGGGGGGACCAUCCUCCAAGGCUAAAUACUCCUGACUGACCGAUAGUGAACCAGUACCGUGAGGGAAAGGCGAAAAGAACCCCGGCGAGGGGAGUGAAAAAGAACCUGAAACCGUGUACGUACAAGCAGUGGGAGCACAGAGCAAUCUGUGUGACUGCGUACCUUUUGUAUAAUGGGUCAGCGACUUAUAUUCUGUAGCAAGGUUAACCGAAUAGGGGAGCCGAAGGGAAACCGAGUCUUAACUGGGCGUUAAGUUGCAGGGUAUAGACCCGAAACCCGGUGAUCUAGCCAUGGGCAGGUUGAAGGUUGGGUAACACUAACUGGAGGACCGAACCGACUAAUGUUGAAAAAUUAGCGGAUGACUUGUGGCUGGGGGUGAAAGGCCAAUCAAACCGGGAGAUAGCUGGUUCUCCCCGAAAGCUAUUUAGGUAGCGCCUCGUGAAUUCAUCUCCGGGGGUAGAGCACUGUUUCGGCAAGGGGGUCAUCCCGACUUACCAACCCGAUGCAAACUGCGAAUACCGGAGAAUGUUAUCACGGGAGACACACGGCGGGUGCUAACGUCCGUCGUGAAGAGGGAAACAACCCAGACCGCCAGCUAAGGUCCCAAAGUCAUGGUUAAGUGGGAAACGAUGUGGGAAGGCCCAGACAGCCAGGAUGUUGGCUUAGAAGCAGCCAUCAUUUAAAGAAAGCGUAAUAGCUCACUGGUCGAGUCGGCCUGCGCGGAAGAUGUAACGGGGCUAAACCAUGCACCGAAGCUGCGGCAGCGACGCUUAUGCGUUGUUGGGUA
rnacentral:rRNA from 1 species